CGAGGGGCAGCACGAUGUAGCAAUACAUUGGUGGCGACCGGCGCACGGGUGAGUAACGCGUAUGCAACCUACCUAUCAGAGGGGAAUAACCCGGCGAAAGUCGGACUAAUACCGCAUAAAACAGGGGUUCCACAUGGAAAUAUUUGUUAAAGAAUUAUCGCUGAUAGAUGGGCAUGCGUUCCAUUAGAUAGUUGGUGAGGUAACGGCUCACCAAGUCCACGAUGGAUAGGGGUUCUGAGAGGAAGGUCCCCCACACUGGUACUGAGACACGGACCAGACUCCUACGGGAGGCAGCAGUGAGGAAUAUUGGUCAAUGGGCGAGAGCCUGAACCAGCCAAGUCGCGUGAAGGAUGAAGGAUCUAUGGUUUGUAAACUUCUUUUAUAUGGGAAUAAAGUGAGGAACGUGUUCCUUUUUGUAUGUACCAUAUGAAUAAGCAUCGGCUAACUCCGUGCCAGCAGCCGCGGUAAUACGGAGGAUGCGAGCGUUAUCCGGAUUUAUUGGGUUUAAAGGGUGCGUAGGUGGUUAAUUAAGUCAGCGGUGAAAGUUUGUGGCUCAACCAUAAAAUUGCCGUUGAAACUGGUUGACUUGAGUAUAUUUGAGGUAGGCGGAAUGCGUGGUGUAGCGGUGAAAUGCAUAGAUAUCACGCAGAACUCCGAUUGCGAAGGCAGCUUACUAAACUAUAACUGACACUGAAGCACGAAAGCGUGGGGAUCAAACAGGAUUAGAUACCCUGGUAGUCCACGCAGUAAACGAUGAUUACUAGCUGUUUGCGAUACACAGUAAGCGGCACAGCGAAAGCGUUAAGUAA
rnacentral:rRNA from 1 species